rnacentral:rRNA from 1 species
UUUCCCUCAGGAUAGCUGGCACUCGCUUGAGCGAGUCUCAUCUGGUAAAGCGAAUGAUUAGAGGCCUUGGGGCCGAAACGACCUCAACCUAUUCUCAAACUUUAAAUGGGUGAGAUCUCUGGCUUGCUUGAACGUUGAAGCCAUGAGAUAUAUAUAUAUUGGAUCAGAGUGCCAAGUGGGCCAAUUUUGGUAAGCAGAACUGGCGCUGUGGGA